rnacentral:rRNA from 1 species
UACGGAUGGAGCUAGCGUUGUUCGGAAUUACUGGGCGUAAAGCGUGCUCAGGCGGCUUUGCAAGACAGAUGUGAAAUCCCCGGGCUCAACCUGGGAACUGCAUUUGUGACUGCAUGGCUGGAGUGCGGCAGAGGGGGAUGGAAUUCCGCGUGUAGCAGUGAAAUGCGUAGAUAUGCGGAGGAACACCGAUGGCGAAGGCAAUCCCCUGGGCCUGCACUGACGCUCAUGCACGAAAGCGUGGGGAGCAAACAGG